rnacentral:rRNA from 1 species
UUGAUCCAGAGAUUUCCGAAUGGGGAAACCCAGCAUGAGUUAUGUCAUGUUAUCGAUAUGUGAAUACAUAGCAUAUCAGAAGGCACACCCGGAGAACUGAAACAUCUUAGUACCCGGAGGAAGAGAAAGAAAAUUCGAUUCCCUUAGUAGCGGCGAGCGAAACGGGAAGAGCCCAAACCAACAAGCUUGCUUGUUGGGGUUGUAGGACACUCUAUACGGAGUUACAAAGGACGACAUUAGACGAAUCAUCUGGAAAGAUGAAUCAAAGAAGGUAAUAAUCCUGUAGUCGAAAAUGUUGUCUCUCUUGAGUGGAUCCUGAGUACGACGGAGCACGUGAAAUUCCGUCGGAAUCUGGGAGGACCAUCUCCUAAGGCUAAAUACUCUCUAGUGACCGAUAGUGAACCAGUACCGUGAGGGAAAGGUGAAAAGCACCCCGGAAGGGGAGUGAAAUAGAACCUGAAACCGUGUGCUUACAAGUAGUCAGAGCCCGUUAAUGGGUGAUGGCGUGCCUUUUGUAGAAUGAACCGGCGAGUUACGAUUUGAUGCAAGGUUAAGCAGUAAAUGUGGAGCCGUAGCGAAAGCGAGUCUGAAUAGGGCGUUUAGUAUUUGGUCGUAGACCCGAAACCAGGUGAUCUACCCUUGGUCAGGUUGAAGUUCAGGUAACACUGAAUGGAGGACCGAACCGACUUACGUUGAAAAGUGAGCGGAUGAACUGAGGGUAGCGGAGAAAUUCCAAUCGAACCUGGAGAUAGCUGGUUCUCUCCGAAAUAGCUUUAGGGCUAGCCUCAAGUGAUGAUUAUUGGAGGUAGAGCACUGUUUGGACGAGGGGCCCCUCUCGGGUUACCGAAUUCAGACAAACUCCGAAUGCCAAUUAAUUUAACUUGGGAGUCAGAACAUGGGUGAUAAGGUCCGUGUUCGAAAGGGAAACAGCCCAGACCACCAGCUAAGGUCCCAAAAUAUAUGUUAAGUGGAAAAGGAUGUGGCGUUGCCCAGACAACUAGGAUGUUGGCUUAGAAGCAGCCAUCAUUUAAAGAGUGCGUAAUAGCUCACUAGUCGAGUGACACUGCGCCGAAAAUGUACCGGGGCUAAACAUAUUACCGAAGCUGUGGAUUGUCCUUUGGACAAUGGUAGGAGAGCGUUCUAAGGGCGUUGAAGCAUGAUCGUAAGGACAUGUGGAGCGCUUAGAAGUGAGAAUGCCGGUGUGAGUAGCGAAAGACGGGUGAGAAUCCCGUCCACCGAUUGACUAAGGUUUCCAGAGGAAGGCUCGUCCGCUCUGGGUUAGUCGGGUCCUAAGCUGAGGCCGACAGGCGUAGGCGAUGGAUAACAGGUUGAUAUUCCUGUACCACCUAUAAUCGUUUUAAUCGAUGGGGGGACGCAGUAGGAUAGGCGAAGCGUGCGAUUGGAUUGCACGUCUAAGCAGUAAGGCUGAGUAUUAGGCAAAUCCGGUACUCGUUAAGGCUGAGC